UCAGGGAUUGCUGUACAUUUCACAUGUAUCAUUUCUCUUGUUUGUUAUAGAAACUAUGGAUAAAGGUACAAAUGCCACUUUACAUUGAAGAAAACUAAGGUUUAGAGAGGAAAAAAAAAAUGUUUUGCCCAAGAUCAUAUGGCAAGUGAGUAAUGGCACCUGGACUUGAAGUUCCAAGCCUUGCUUUUUGACCAUUUUUGCUAAGUCAAAGACUGAAAUCUUCCUCUUUAUUGUUCAACUAUACCUGGAGCAAAGAAGCUGCUAACUGUGUUAAAUUCUUAUCAGGAAGAAGAAUAUAGCACCAGCUGUGAAGAUAACAGCAACAAAAACAAAAUGAAAGUACCAAGAUAUACUGGAGAAGAUUUGGAAGAAGGAGACCAGAGUUUGCAUUUGGCUCAGUUUUAAGCUCAUAUGUCACUUUCUUAGGAAGGCCUUUCCUACCACAUCCUCUUCCAUAUUUGUCUCUGUUAGAACACUGAACUCAUUGCUGUAAUUAUACAAUGAUUCUAAGGUGCACAUAUUUUUCAUUGUAGCAUGUCUAAAAUCUAGAUUCAUCUUAUAAUUGAUGGUAUCUUAAUUGGUAGCAUUUCUCCUUAAUUGUUGGUACAGAAAAUAAGGAUGUAAUUUAUGUUCGAUGGCAUCUUAGAUUUGAUGAAACACAGUAUUUAAAUGUGUUCCCAUGGAAAGGUUUAUAUCAAUCCAACAGUUUUAAGUACCAGGUAGAGACAACGAUUUUCCAGUUUCUAACCUAGUUCUCUUUUAAAGUCCAGAUCUGCAUGCAUGAUUAACUGAAUCUCCCUUUGAUACCACAGGGAUCCCUGUUUCAAUAUGUGUACUUUCCAAACAAACUUGUCUUUUAGUAUUCCAUCUCAGUAAUGGAAUCUACAUUUGUGAAGCUAAAAAGCUAGGAGUUUGCCAGGUUUUGAAUCCUACUUCUACCCUAUACUACUUAUAAAGAGACACAGUGAAACGUUUGCCUUUAUUCUUCACCUGUAAAAUGGGUACCAUAAUAACACCUACCCCCUGAAGUGGUUACGACAAUAAAACAUGGAGUACAUGUUAGCUGCCACUAAUCUUCAUGAUAAAUAUCUGUGACCUCUCUCCUUA
rnacentral:lncRNA from 1 species